rnacentral:lncRNA from 1 species
UCCAGAGCUGAUAGAAAGACCUCCCCAUCAGAAAAGGUCUAAUGAGAUGUCAUUGAAAAUCACUACCUUAGUAUUUCAUCUGGAAAGUGCCUCAGGGACAAACCUGACCCUUAGCUAACUCUAAGAGGUUGGCCCUUCCUAAGCUACCUUAUCCCAGAAGGAAUGCUUGAUCUAGUUCAUCUCAAAAGAACCAAGUCAGUCAACG